AGCAUUUAAAUCACAUAUUAUUAAUUUACUAAGUCCUGUUAUGGAAAAAGUAAACAGUAUUUGCUCCUACCAACUCAAUAUUCUUUUUUCUUUAUUUAUACAGCUUAAUAUUGACCAAGUACGUAAAAUAAUACCAAGCUCGUUUGUUAGAAUAAAGGUACACAUAGUGGUUGGAAAUAACAGCAUAUUAAUAAAAGGUGUUUAAUAAUAAUUUUUAACAGCAUAUUAUGUUAAAAAAAACAACCAAAUACCCAGUGUAUAUAAAGUGCGAAUCCAGUAAGUUCAUUUUCACUGUUGUAUGCGAGUAUGUUCAUUGUAGAAUAAAGGAUCAUGAGAAAACUGUAUUUG
rnacentral:lncRNA from 1 species